AAAGGGCCGCGGUAUAUUGACCGUGCGAAGGUAGCAUAAUCAUUAGUCUUUUAAUUGGAGGCUUGUAUGAAUGGUUGGACAAAAAGUAAGCUGUCUCGAUUAUAAUAAUUGAACUUAACUUUUAAGUGAAAAGGCUUAAAUGUUUCAGGGGGACGAUAAGACCCUAUAAAGCUUGACAAUAACUUCGUUAUAUUAUAAAUUGUUAGUAUAACUUGAUUUUAACGGGGGUUUGUUUCGUUGGGGCGACGGGAAUAUAAUAAAUAACUGUUCUUUUAAAUAUAAUUACAAAAAUGUUUGGUAAAUAAUUGAUCCUCUAUUAGAGAUUAAAAGAUUAAGUUACUUUAGGGAUAACAGCGUAAUCUUCUUUGAGAGUCCACAUCGACAAGAAGGUUUGCGACCUCGAUGUUGAAUUAAGGUAUCCUUAUAAUGCAGCAGUUAUAAAGGAGGGUCUGUUCGACCUUUAAAUCCUUACAUGAUUU
rnacentral:rRNA from 1 species